rnacentral:rRNA from 1 species
UGGCGCGAUUGGAUGAGCCCACGUCGGAUUAGCUAGUUGGCGGGGUAAAGGCCCACCAAGGCGACGAUCCGUAGCUGGUCUGAGAGGAUGAUCAGCCACACUGGAACUGAGACACGGUCCAGACUCCUACGGGAGGCAGCAGUAGGGAAUAUUGGACAAUGGGCGCAAGCCUGAUCCAGCCAUGCCGCGUGAGUGAAGAAGGCCCUCGGGUUGUAAAGCUCUUUUGUCCGGAAAGAAAAGCGCCGGGUUAAUACCCUGGUGUCCUGACGGUACCGGAAGAAUAAGCACCGGCUAACUUCGUG